rnacentral:lncRNA from 1 species
UUCAGAGCCAUGCGGCUUCCGUGGAAGCGGAUUCCCACGUAGAAGCAUUCUGAAUAGUGGGACUAGCAUUCUGAGUACCAGAAAAAUAGCAUAGUUAAUAUUUCUGUAGUAAAAUCAAGUAGCAACUUCUMAAAAUUUGAGUACAGAUAUUUCAGUUUCUAGGCUGUGAAUGUUAAUUUUAACAUGAAAAUUUUUCAGUAGAUAAAUAUUGAAUUCUGCACUUUUCUAAAUUCCAGUGGUAUUUCUUGGGUGUAAUGGCCCCCAAGGAUUAGGUAACAGGUUACAACUUUCUCCUGCAGGACACGAGACUGAGGCCCUUCAACAGCCCUUCUUGUCCUCUCUGAUUCGCUGAUCCUACUCUUCCUACCUGCAGUACUGCACAGAGCUGAGGACUGUGUGAUCCUUCCCGUCCUCAGCCUCAGGCCAGAGGUAUGUGCCA